AUGUGGAGGCUAAAGAUCGCGGAGGGCAGCGGCAACCCACUGCUGCGCACCACCAACGGCCACGUCGGCCGGCAGGUAUGGGAGUUCGAUCCUGCCGCGGAUGACCCCGACGAGGUCGCCGCCGUUGAUGCCGCCCGCCGCGACUUCACCAGCCGCCGGCACCAGAUGAAGAACAGCUCCGACCUCCUCAUGCGCAUGCAGCUCUCUAAGUCAAACAAUCUCAAGAUGAACCUUCCUCCCAUCAAGCUGGAACAACAUGGGUAUCACACAGAAGAAGACGAUGUCUUGAUAUCUUUGAGGAGGGCAAUCAACCGAUGUUCCACUCUCCAGGCACAUGAUGGCCAUUGGCCGGGGGAUUACGCUGGCACUUUAUUUCUCUUGCCCAGCUUGAUUGUAGCACUGCAUGUGACUGGAGCACUAACUACUGUGUUGACAUCUGAACAUCAGAAAGAGAUUCGGCGGUAUCUCUACAAUCAUCAGAAUGAAGACGGGGGUUGGGGACUGCAUAUCGAGGGAACAAGCACAAUGUUCUGUACUGUCAUGAACUAUGUUGCUUUGAGAUUGCUUGGGGAGGGGCUGGAUUCAUGCGGAGCCAUGCUACAAGCUCGGAGUUGGAUCUUGGAUCAUGGAGGAGCAACUUUAACACCAUCGUGGGGAAAAUUCUUUCUUUCGGUCCUUGGGGUAUAUGACUGGUCCGGGAACAACCCAUUGCCACCAGAACUAUGGAUGAUGCCUUAUUUCUUGCCUAUUCAUCCAGGGCGCAUGUGGUGUAAUUGUCGGUUGGUAUAUUUGCCCAUGUCAUACCUAUACGGGAAGAGGUUUGUGGGUGCUACUACAUCGAUUGUACUAGACUUGAGGAAAGAGCUCUACAAUGUCCCGUAUAAUGAGAUUGACUGGGACAAGGCUCGCAAUGGGUGUGCAAAGGAAGAUCUCUAUUAUCCCCAUUCACCACUACAGAAUAUUGUAUGGGCCACUCUCAAGAAAAUUGGUGAACCGGUUCUUAUGCACUGGCCUGGCAGCAAUUUGCGAAAGAAAGCUCUGGACAUUGUCAUGAAACAUAUAAAGUAUGAGGAUGAAACAACUCAAUAUAUAUGCAUUGCUCCUCUCAAUAAGAUGUUGAAUAUGAUUUGUUGCUGGGUAGAAGAUCCAAAGUCAGAGGCAUUCAAACUCCAUAUUGAAAGAGUAUAUGAUUUCUUAUGGGUUGCAGAAGACGGCAUGAAGAUGAAGUCUUACAAUGGCAGCCAGCUAUGGGAUACAGCUUUGACAGUUCAGGCUAUAUUUGCUACCGGCCUCACAAAAGAGUUUGGCCAUACAAUUAAAGUCGCUCAUGACUAUAUCAAACAUUCCCAGAUUCGUGCGGACUGCCCUGGAGACCAAAGCAAGUGGUAUCGCCAUCUAUCAAAAGGUGGAUGGACACAUUCAACUGCUGACCAAGGGUGGCCUGUAUCAGAUUGUACUGCAGAAGCAUUUAAGGUUUUGUUGUUGUUAACUAAGGUUCCUGAACUGGUUGAUGAGCCUAUAGAAACAAGCAGACUUGAUGAUGCAGUCAACAUUCUACUGUCUUUGAUGAAUGACGAUGGCAGUUUUGGUGCAUAUGAGCUAACAAGAUCUUAUGAAUGGCUUGAGUUGUUGAAUCCUUCUGAGAGCUUUGGCGGCAUAAUGAUCGAGUAUCCGUAUGUUGAGUGUACAUCAUCAGUAAUUCAGGGUCUGGUGUUAUUUAGAGAAAUGUACCCCAAACACAUUCGCUUGGAAGAGAUAGACAGUUGUAUCCAAAAGGCUGCAGACUACAUUGAGAGCAUCCAAUGGAGUGAUGGAUCAUGGUAUGGUUGUUGGGCUAUCUGUUUCACAUAUGGUACUUGGUUUGGGGUGAGAGGAUUGGUUGCUGCAGGGAGGACGUAUGUAAAUAGCCUAGCAAUCAGAAAAGCGUGUGAAUUUCUUUUGUCCAAGGAGCUUCUCCCAUCUGGAGGGUGGGGAGAAAGUUACCUUUCCAGUCAAGACAAGGUUUACACCAAUCUUGAAGGAAACAGGGCUCAUGCAGUUAACACUAGUUGGGCCAUGUUGGCCCUAAUUGAUGCCGGGCAGGGUCAAAGAGAUCCUGCAUGUCUACAUAGAGCAGCCAAGAUUCUGAUGAACUUCCAAUCAGAGGAUGGAGAGUUCCCUCAGCAAGACAUUAUUGGAGCUACCAACCACAACCUUAUGCUCACUUAUGCCCAGUUCAGGAACAUAUUCCCUAUCUGGGCUCUUGGAGAGUACUACCAGAGAGUGCUUCCGGUAGCUUAA
rnacentral:rRNA from 1 species